GAAUGCUGACAUAAGUAACGAUAAAGCGGGUGAAAAGCCCGCUCGCCGGAAGACCAAGGGUUCCUGUCCAACGUUAAUCGGGGCAGGGUGAGUCGACCCCUAAGGCGAGGCCGAAAGGCGUAGUCGAUGGGAAACAGGUUAAUAUUCCUGUACUUGGUGUUACUGCGAAGGGGGGACGGAGAAGGCUAUGUUGGCCGGGCGACGGUUGUCCCGGUUUAAGCGUGUAGGCUGGUUUUCCAGGCAAAUCCGGAAAAUCAAGGCUGAGGCGUGAUGACGAGGCACUACGGUGCUGAAGCGACAAAUGCCCUGCUUCCAGGAAAAGCCUCUAAGCAUCAGGUAACAUCAAAUCGUACCCCAAACCGACACAGGUGGUCAGGUAGAGAAUACCAAGGCGCUUGAGAGAACUCGGGUGAAGGAACUAGGCAAAAUGGUGCCGUAACUUCGGGAGAAGGCACGCUGAUAUGUAGGUGAAGCGACUUGCUCGUGGAGCUGAAAUCAGUCGAAGAUACCAGCUGGCUGCAACUGUUUAUUAAAAACACAGCACUGUGCAAACACGAAAGUGGACGUAUACGGUGUGACGCCUGCCCGGUGCCGGAAGGUUAAUUGAUGGGGUUAGCGGUAACGCGAAGCUCUUGAUCGAAGCCCCGGUAAACGGCGGCCGUAACUAUAACGGUCCUAAGGUAGCGAAAUUCCUUGUCGGGUAAGUUCCGACCUGCACGAAUGGCGUAAUGAUGGCCAGGCUGUCUCCACCCGAGACUCAGUGAAAUUGAACUCGCUGUGAAGAUGCAGUGUACCCGCGGCAAGACGGAAAGACCCCGUGAACCUUUACUAUAGCUUGACACUGAACAUUGAGCCUUGAUGUGUAGGAUAGGUGGGAGGCUUUGAAGUGUGGACGCCAGUCUGCAUGGAGCCGACCUUGAAAUACCACCCUUUAAUGUUUGAUGUUCUAACGUGGGCCCCUUACCGGGGUUGCGGACAGUGUCUGGUGGGUAGUUUGACUGGGGCGGUCUCCUCCUAAAGAGUAACGGAGGAGCACGAAGGUUGGCUAAUCCUGGUCGGACAUCAGGAGGUUAGUGCAAUGGCAUAAGCCAGCUUGACUGCGAGCGUGACGGCGCGAGCAGGUGCGAAAGCAGGUCAUAGUGAUCCGGUGGUUCUGAAUGGAAGGGCCAUCGCUCAACGGAUAAAAGGUACUCCGGGGAUAACAGGCUGAUACCGCCCAAGAGUUCAUAUCGACGGCGGUGUUUGGCACCUCGAUGUCGGCUCAUCACAUCCUGGGGCUGAAGUAGGUCCCAAGGGUAUGGCUGUUCGCCAUUUAAAGUGGUACGCGAGCUGGGUUUAGAACGUCGUGAGACAGUUCGGUCCCUAUCUGCCGUGGGCGCUGGAGAACUGAGGGGGGCUGCUCCUAGUACGAGAGGACCGGAGUGGACGCAUCACUGGUGUUCGGGUUGUCAUGCCAAUGGCACUGCCCGGUAGCUAAAUGCGGAAGAGAUAAGUGCUGAAAGCAUCUAAGCACGAAACUUGCCCCGAGAUGAGUUCUCCCUGACUCCUUGAGAGUCCUGAAGGAA
rnacentral:rRNA from 1 species